rnacentral:rRNA from 1 species
CCUACGGGAGGCAGCAGUGAGGAAUAUUGGUCAAUGGCCGGAAGGCUGAACCAGCCAAGUCGCGUGAGGGAAUAAGGCCCUACGGGUCGUAAACCUCUUUUGUCAGGGAGCAAGGCCGCCCACGUGUGGACGGAAGGAGAGUACCUGGAGAAAAAGCAUCGGCUAACUCCGUGCCAGCAGCCGCGGUAAUACGGAGGAUGCGAGCGUUAUCCGGAUUUAUUGGGUUUAAAGGGUGCGUAGGCGGCCUGCCAAGUCAGCGGUAAAAUUGCGGGGCUCAACCCCGUACAGCCGUUGAAACUGCCGGGCUCGAGUGGGCGAGAAGUAUGCGGAAUGCGUGGUGUAGCGGUGAAAUGCAUAGAUAUCACGCAGAACCCCGAUUGCGAAGGCAGCAUACCGGCGCCCUACUGACGCUGAGGCACGAAAGUGCGGGGAUCAAACAGGAUUAGAUACCCUGGUAGUCC